rnacentral:pre_miRNA from 2 species
AACCACACUAUCAAUGGAUGGAUUCACCCGUGAAAUGACGUGGUUGUUUCACCUAGGACGAGGACAUGGCAUCCUAUUACCAGCCAUCGCACAAAAUUAAUAGGAUGCCACGUCCACAUCCUAGAUAAAACAACCACGUCAUAUCAUGGGUGAAUCCAUUCAUCGAUAGUGUGGUU